UUCUCCAUCUUACGAGGCAGCAUUGGAUAUCUUCUCUCUCUCUAAUACUGCCUGGUAAUGAUGAUGAU
rnacentral:pre_miRNA from 1 species